rnacentral:lncRNA from 1 species
GUUUUAUAAUCCACUAGUUUCUUGUUAAAUAUAGAAGGUAUGUUCCAAAUUGAACGUGUAGUCAAGAAUAAGGAGUUAUAAUGAUCCGUAUUGAACGGGUCAAUUGGGAAUGAAUGGGAAUGUUCAUGAUUUGGUUAUGAUGAUGGUUCGUUAUGAAUGGGAUUAUUUGUAUAGAAUAAGGAUGUCAAAGAAUGUUAGCUUGCCGAACCGUAUCUAAACGGGUCGACCGCUUAAAAGAAAGAAAAGAAGGAAAGUAGUAAUAUAUGUUAACCCAUUCGUUGGGGUUUACAUAUUGAUGAUAAGGUAAAACUCAAGCUUAAGUGCUUUUCUCUCGCUCGGAUCGAACACGCCAUGAACGCCCUUAUUGCGCUUCCGCAACUUUUGAAAUGUCAUCAAUGGUUAAAUGUUUUGUUAAAUUAGGCCAAGUUUGGUGUCACGGCCCUCGGCCCCGGUUUGACCCGGUCCAGAGCCGCGAGGCAGGAAAUCCUGUGGUAUUAAUUUAAACGACAGCGAAAGUCUUUUUUUAAGCAGGAUCCUUUAAUAUUAAAACUGCCCGUUUACAUAAAUUAGGGAUAAAACCCUGUAAUUUACAAUAAGAUGAUUUCACUGGGAAAUCUUUAUUUUUCAAAACAUGUUUCUUUAUUUAUUUACAUUGAGCCACUUCUCUAAGCUGGUAGUGCUCCAUGGCACUUUUCUUAGCUCACAACAGAUC